rnacentral:rRNA from 1 species
UAGGGAAUCUUCCGCAAUGGACGCAAGUCUGACGGAGCAACGCCGCGUGAGUGAAGAAGGAUUUCGGUUCGUAAAACUCUGUUGUUAGAGAAGAACAGCGCAUAGAGUAACUGUUAUGCGUGUGACGGUAUCUAACCAGAAAGCCACGGCUAACUACGUGCCAGCAGCCGCGGUAAUACGUAGGUGGCAAGCGUUGUCCGGAUUUAUUGGGCGUAAAGCGAGCGCAGGCGGUCAAUUAAGUCUGAUGUGAAAGCCCCCGGCUCAACCGGGGAGGGUCAUUGGAAACUGGUUGACUUGAGUGCAGAAGAGGAGAGUGGAAUUCCAUGUGUAGCGGUGAAAUGCGUAGAUAUAUGGAGGAACACCAGUGGCGAAGGCGACUCUCUGGUCUGUAACUGACGCUGAGGUUCGAAAGCGUGGGUAGCGAACAGG